GAAAAAUGUCGACCAGUUCAUUUCCUAACUUGAAGGAACACCUCUGAACAAUUCCUCAACAAUUUGAUAAGUUCCUUAAAAAGUUCCUAACUUCCUGUUUCAUUGACCAAUCAAAUUUUAUAUUUUAUUUUUGAGCAAUCUGAUUGGUCAAUGUCUCAAUGAAACAGGAAGUUAGGAACUUUUUAAGGAAUUUAUCAAAUUGUUGAGGAAUUGUCCAGAUCACAGAGGAAGUAGAUACAGAGAUCUCACUUCAGGUAAUUUCGCGUAAGGUUUUUUUUCAGUCCGCCAUGUUCUUAGCAAGUGCCCUAAAGAGAG